AUACUUCUGACUAAGUCUUAGAAUAGAUAAAUACUAGGCUAGUAGUUUCUUAUUUUCAAUGCGUAGUGUUUCUUUUACGCGCAUGAGCGUGUGACAUAAGCGUUGGUGGACAAUGGACAUUAGUGUGAAUACGAUAAUGGUGUUCAACAUUAGUUAAAUAUAAAAGGAGGAUAGUUUGUUUAUGUACAACACUAUUAGGUGAAUACGAGUAACGACCUUUGUCAAGUUGGAGAGCAAACGAAAAAACUGUUAUUAAACAAAAUGAAAAACAGAAUAAAGAUGAUGUGAAAGUUUUGAGUUUUUUUUCUUUUAGAAUAAUCUGUAUUAAAAGUAAAAGUGGUUCUGGUGAAUUUAAAAAGUCUGAGGGGUGUUCGUAAGUGUAUUUUGGAUAAUGGAACUUUUAACAUAGAGAUCUCUGUUCCUCUUUCUUUUCACAAACAACAUCAUGCUUCCAUCUCCAUUAACAUCAUUCCAAUUGCUUUGGUUUUGCUUUUAGAGAAAAAGAUGAGAUUGCAGAUUUUGUUUAUGCAAACUACACAAUCCAAUUUAUUACACACCUUCAUAUAUUCAAAAACUAAUGUUUGACAAGAACUUCUCAUUACGAUCUUCUAAAAGAAUGUGUAGGAGAUCUGUUAGUUAGUUUGGUUUUGCCAAAUUUCAAAGAUUAAAUCAAUCAUAUAUAGCCAAUAAAGUUGAGCUGAAAAACUAAUAGUUGGUCUCGUUGCAACAUCGUCGGUUCGAACUAGGAAGUGAACAUACAAAAAGCAGUAGUCACAAAGAGCAAGAAAACACAUUUGUGAGAAUAUUUACAUCAUUUGUUUGUCAUCUCAGCCAUUAGAAUUAGAUUCAAAGACAGAUGAAUGUCUUUUGGGAGAUAGAAGCAUCAUAUUCUC